rnacentral:tRNA from 1 species
GAGGGUAUAGCUCAGUGGUAGAAUGAAUGCUUAGCAUGCAUGAAGUCCUAGGUUCAAUCCCCAGGACCUCCA